GCCUGCCAGCGCCGCCCGCCCUGCAGCCACUGGACCACCAGGGAGAGAGACCCCCCCCUCCCCCCCCAGCACUCCCAAAGGUAAGGAGGUUGGGGGGGGAUUUAAAUUUAAAAAAAAGUUAGUGUGUGUGUGUGUGUUUGUGAGUGUGUGUGUGACUGUGUUUGUGUCUGUGUAUGUGUCUGACUGUGUGUGUAUGUGACUGUGUGUGUUUGUGUCUGACUGUGUGUGUAUGUGUGUGUGUGUGUGUCUGACUGUGUGUGUAUGUGUGUGUGUGUGUGUGUGUAUGUA